UACAGAGGCCCCAAGCGUUACUGAGAAUCACUGGGUUUAAAGGGUGCGUAGGUGGCGCGUUAAGUUCGUUGUGAAAUCCCUGGGCUCAACCCAGGAAUUGCUUCGAAUACUGGCGUGCUUGAGGCUAGUAGGGGUCACUGGAACUGACGGUGGAGCGGUGAAAUGCGUAGAUAUCGUCAGGAACGCCGAUGGUGAAGACAGGUGACUGGGCUAGUUCUGACACUGAGGCACGAAAGCGUGGGGAGCGAACGGG
rnacentral:rRNA from 1 species